GCGAAAGGAGCGGUAAUACCGCAUGAGACCUAUCGCUGGGAUGCGAUAGAUGAAAGCUGGGGAUCGUAAGACCUAGCGCUGAGAGAGAGUCCUGCGUCUGAUUAGUUAGUUGGUGAGGUAACGGCUCACCAAGACUUCGAUCAGUAGCCGGCCUGAGAGGGCGAUCGGCCACACUGGAACUGAGAC
rnacentral:rRNA from 1 species